UGACCAGACUCCUACGGGAGGCAGCAGUGGGGAAUAUUGCACAAUGGGGGAAGCCCUGAUGCAGCGACGCCGCGUGAGCGAUGAAGUCUUUCGGUAUGUAAAGCUCUAUCAGCAGGGAAGAAAAUGACGGUACCUGACUAAGAAGCCCCGGCUAACUACGUGCCAGCAGCCGCGGUAAUACGUAGGGGGCAAGCGUUAUCCGGAUUUACUGGGUGUAAAGGGAGCGUAGACGGCCAUUCAAGCCAGAUGUGAAAGCCCGGGGCUCAACCCCGGGACUGCAUUUGGAACUGUGUGGCUAGAGUGUCGGAGAGGCAGGCGGAAUUCCUAGUGUAGCGGUGAAAUGCGUAGAUAUUAGGAGGAACACCAGUGGCGAAGGCGGCCUGCUGGGCUUUUACUGACGCUGAGGCUCGAAAGUGUGGGGAGCAAACAGGAUUAGAUACCCGAGUAGAG
rnacentral:rRNA from 1 species